rnacentral:rRNA from 1 species
GACGAACGCUUGCGACGUGCCUAAGAAAUGCAAGUCGAGCGAGGCAGCAAUGUCUAGCGGCGAACGGUCGCGUAACACGUAAGCAACCUGCCCCAAAGACCGGGACAACGUUCCGAAAGGAGCGCUAAUACCGGAUGUGCCCGCCGGGUGACAUCGCCUGGUGAGUAAAUCGAGCAAUCGGCUUUGGGAGGGGCUUGCGGCCUAUCAGCUAGAUGGUGGGGUAACGGCCUACCAUGGCGACGACGGGUAGCUGGUCUGAGAGGAUGGUCAGCCGGAUUGGGACUGAGAUACGGCCCAGACUCCUACGGGGGGCAGCAAUUAGGAAUCUUGCGCAAUGGGCGAAAGCCUGACGCAGCGACGUCGCGUGGGGAGAAGGCUUUCGGUU